rnacentral:misc_RNA from 1 species
GAUGAAGAACGUAGCGAAAUGCGAUACGUAAUGUGAAUUGCAGAAUUCAGUGAAUCAUCGAAUCUUUGAACGCAUAUUGCGCUCUCUGGUAUUCCGGAGAGCAUGCUUGUUUGAGUAUGAGUAAACACCUCAACUUCCAUAUCUUUUUUGAAAUGGGAGUUGGACUUGAGUGAUCCCAACGCUUUUCCUCACCGAAAAGUGGCGGGUUACUUGAAAUGCAGGUGCAGCUGGACUUUUCUCUGAGCUAUAAGCAUAUCUAUUUAGUCUGCCUAAAAAACAGAUUAUUACCUUUGCUGCAGCUAACAUAAAGGAGAUUAGUUCUUGUGCUGACUGAUGCAGGAUUCACAAAGACAGCUUCGGCCGACUUUGUAAACUCGAUCUCAAAUCAAGUAAGACUACCCGCUGAACUUAAGCAUAUCAAUAAGCGGAGGA